UACGAAGGGGGCUAGCGUUGCUCGGAAUCACUGGGCGUAAAGCGCACGUAGGCGGAUUGUUAAGUCAGGGGUGAAAUCCCGGGGCUCAACCUCGGAACUGCCUUUGAUACUAUUGGUCUUGAAUGUUGUUGAGGUAGGCGGAACGGGUCAUGUAGCGGUGAAAUGCAUAGAUAUGACCCGGAACACCGAUUGCGAAGGCAGCCUGCUAAGCAACUAUUGAACGCUGAGGCACGAAAGCGUGGGGAAUCAAACAGGUAGUUAGAAUGAAUCCCCAGAUUCCC
rnacentral:rRNA from 1 species